GAUGAACGCUGGCGGCGUGCCUAAUACAUGCAAGUCGAGCGAACGGACGAGAAGCUUGCUUCUCUGAUGUUAGCGGCGGACGGGUGAGUAACACGUGGAUAACCUACCUAUAAGACUGGGAUAACUUCGGGAAACCGGAGCUAAUACCGGAUGAUAUUUUGAACCGCAUGGUUCAAAAGUGAAAGACGGUCUUGCUGUCACUUAUAGAUGGAUCCGCGCUGCAUUAGCUAGUUGGUAAGGUAACGGCUUACCAAGGCAACGAUGCAUAGCCGACCUGGGAGGGUAAUCGGCCACACUGGAACUAGGACACGGUCCAAACUCCUACGGGAGGCAGCAGUAGGAAAUCUUCCGAAAUGGGCGAAAGCCUAACGGAGCAACGCCGCGUGAGUGAUGAAGGUCUUCGGAUCGUAAAACUCUGUUAUUAGGGAAGAACAUAUGUGUAAGUAACUGUGCACAUCUGGACGGUACCUAAUCAGAAGACCACGGCUAACUACGU
rnacentral:rRNA from 1 species